AGGGGGAGCGCCAGAUCUUGGGCUGUGUCCCCAGUGCCCUGUGCUCCCGAGCCUGUGCUGUUGGAAUCGCGCUCUCCGCUGCGCAGCCCCCU
rnacentral:pre_miRNA from 1 species